rnacentral:rRNA from 1 species
UGGGGAAUCUUCCGCAAUGGACGAAAGUCUGACGGAGCAACGCCGCGUGAGUGAUGACGGCCUUCGGGUUGUAAAGCUCUGUUAAUCGGGACGAAUGGUUCUUGUGCGAAUAGUGCGAGGAUUUGACGGUACCGGAAUAGAAAGCCACGGCUAACUACGUGCCAGCAGCCGCGGUAAUACGUAGGUGGCAAGCGUUGUCCGGAAUUAUUGGGCGUAAAGCGCGCGCAGGUGGUUUAAUAAGUCUGAUGUGAAAGCCCACGGCUCAACCGUGGAGGGUCAUUGGAAACUGUUAAACUUGAGUGCAGGAGAGAAAAGUGGAAUUCCUAGUGUAGCGGUGAAAUGCGUAGAGAUUAGGAGGAACACCAGCGGCGAAGGCGGCUUUUUGGCCUGUAACUGACACUGAGGCGCGAAAGCGUGGGGAGCAAACAGGAUUAGAUACCCUGGUAGUCCACGCCGUAAACGAUGAGUGCUAAGUGUUGGUCUCAUAAGAGAUCAGUGCUGCAGCUAACGCAUUAAGCACUCCGCCUGGGGAGUACGACCGCAAGGUUG